UGAGUAACCUGCCCUUCACUCUGGGAUAACUCCGGGAAACCGGGGCUAANACUGGAUAUGACUCGAACAGGCAUCUGUUUCGGGUGGAAAGAUUUAUUGGUGGAGGAUGGACUCGCGGCCUAUCAGCUUGUUGGUGAGGUAAUGGCUCACCAAGGCGACGACGGGUAGCCGGCCUGAGAGGGCGAUCGGCCACACUGGGACUGAGACACGGCCCAGACUCCUACGGGAGCA
rnacentral:rRNA from 1 species